UCCGGUUCUCGUUAGAACACCGAAGUUAAGCAUCAUUGGGCGCGGUCAGUACUUGGGUGGGUGACCACCUGGGAACACCGCGUGCCGUU